GCUAAUCUUCAUACCAAAGGCAAGACAACUGUUUCUCAAACAUUUCUUCUGUAAUAAGCGUUAUAAUAAUUUUGCCCUUUGGUAGCCUGUAAAUUGAGGGGAAAACAGAACAAGGAAUGGCAAUGUUCGCAAUGCCUCUGAUGGCGGCUGCAACAGCUGCAGCUGCGGCCGUGGGAGCUUACAGCCGCUUCUAUCAACAGGGUUUUGAAAUUCGACAGGUUUAUAAGGGAGAAGCGAAGGAAAUGAGCGUAGAUGAAAAGAGGGCAUCAAGAAAGAGCAGCGGAGUAGUUUUCGCUCCGGAAUUUGACGGUUUACAUUGCUAUGAAAAUUUAAUUUCUCGUUGAAUAAUUUUUUAAUCUUUCUCCAUAAGAGACCUUCGAUUCAUCUAAAUCUUUAUUCUUUUCCCAGCGAUUCUGCCGCUGGUUGUACAACAGACUAUUUUAUUCAAUCAUUGAUCUGUAACAUGUGUAUUAACGAACCAAAUUUUAAAUCAAAAUUUAUUUAUCCUUUACCCUC